UACGAAGGGGGCUAGCGUUGCUCGGAAUCACUGGGCGUAAAGGGUGCGUAGGCGGGUCUUAAGUCAGGGGUGAAAUCCUGGAGCUCAACUCCAGAACUGCCUUUGAUACUGAGGAUCUUGAGUUCGGGAGAGGUGAGUGGAACUGCGAGUGUAGAGGUGAAAUUCGUAGAUAUUCGCAAGAACACCAGUGGCGAAGGCGGCUCACUGGCCCGAUACUGACGCUGAGGCACGAAAGCGUGGGGAGU
rnacentral:rRNA from 1 species